rnacentral:rRNA from 1 species
AUUCCAGCUCCAAUAGCGUAUAUUAAAGUUGUUGCAGUUAAAAAGCUCGUAGUUGGAUCUCAGGGUGAGCUCAGUUGGUCGGCCUAAUUGGUCAGAACUGGCUGACUCUCCCUUGUUUCUGAAUCCUGGUCGGAGUUAAUUCUUCGUUCGUGGACUUCAGAUCGUUUACCUUGAAAAAAUUAGAGUGUUCAAAGCGGGCGUUUGCUUGAAUACAUUAGCAUGGAAUAAUGGAAUAGGACCCUGGUUCUAUUUUGUUGGUUUUGAGGACCAGAGUAAUGAUUAAUAGGGAUAGUUGGGGGCAUUCAUAUUUAAUUGUCAGAGGUGAAAUUCUUGGAUUUAUGAAAGAUGAACUUCUGCGAAAGCAUUUGCCAAGGAUGUUUUCAUUG